rnacentral:tRNA from 1 species
AGUUUAUGGGCUUGAAAUUAAGCACAUGUUUUGAAAACAUGAGAUAGAAAUGAAAUUUUCUAUAAACUA